rnacentral:rRNA from 1 species
GACGAACGCUGGCGGCGUGCUUAACACAUGCAAGUCGAACGGAAAGGCCCUGCUUUUGUGGGGUGCUCGAGUGGCGAACGGGUGAGUAACACGUGAGUAACCUGCCCUUGACUUUGGGAUAACUUCAGGAAACUGGGGCUAAUCCCGGAUAGGAGCUCCUGCUGCAUGGUGGGGGUUGGAACGUUUCGGCGGUUGGGGAUGGACUCGCGGCUUAUCGGCUUGUUGGUGGGGUAGUGGCUUACCAAGGCUUUGACGGGUCGCCGGCAUGAGAGGGUGAACGGGCACAUGGGGACUAAGAGAGGGCGCAGACGCCAACGGGGGACAACAGUGGGGAAUAUUGCACAAUGGGAGGAAGUCGGAGAAAGCAACGCCGCGUGCGGGAUGACGGCCUGCGGGGUGAAAACCGCAGUCGCCUGUGACGAAGCGGGAGUGACGGUAAUGGGUAAAGAAGCACCGGCUAACUACGUG